AAAUUCCUUGUCGGGUAAGUUCCGACCCGCACGAAAGGCGUAAUGAUUUGGGCACUGUCUCGACAAUGCACCCGGUGAAAUUGAAAUACCAGUGAAGAUGCUGGUUACCUGCGCCAGGACGGAAAGACCCCAUGGAGCUUUACUCUAGCUUGAUACUGGGGUUCGGUAUUGCAUGUACAGGAUAGGUGGGAGACUGAGAAGAUGUGUCGCCAGAUGCAUCAGAGUCGAUGUUGGGAUACCACCCCUGCAGUACUGGGCUUCUAACCUGCAGCCGUGACCCGGCUGGGGGACAAUGUCUGGUGGGGAGUUUGACUGGGGCGGUCGCCUCCGAAAGAGUAUCGGAGGCGCUCAAAGGUUCCCUCAGAAUGGUUGGAAACCAUUCGAAGAGCGCAAAGGCAGAAGGGAGCUUGACUGCGACACCGACGGGUGGAGCAGGUACGAAAGUAGGACUUAGUGAUCCGGUGGCAUAAAGUGGGAUUGCCAUCGCUCAACGGAUAAAAGCUACCCUGGGAUAACAGGCUUAUCACUCCCAAGAGUUCACAUCGACGGAGUGGUUUGGCACCUCGAUGUCGGCUCAUCGCAUCCUGGGGCUGUAGUAGGUCCCAAGGGUUGGGCUGUUCGCCCAUUAAAGCGGUACGCGAGCUGGGUUCAGAACGUCGUGAGACAGUUCGGUCCCUAUCCGGCGCGGGCGGAGGAUAUUUGAGAGGAGCUGUCCUUAGUACGAGAGGACCGGGAUGGACGGACCACUGGUGUAUCUGCUGUCGACCAACGGCAUGGCAGAGUAGCCAAGUCCGGAAGGGAUAAACGCUGAAGGCAUCUAAGCGUGAAGCCCCCCUCAAGAUGAGAUAUCCCAUAACAUAAGUUAGUAAGACCCCUUGAAGACGACGAGGUAGAUAGGCAGAAGGUGGAAGUGUGGUGACAUAUGGAGCUGAUCUGUACUAAUAGGUC
rnacentral:rRNA from 1 species